GACGAACGCUGGCGGCGUGCUUAACACAUGCAAGUCGAACGGAAAGGCCCCUCUGUUGUUGGUUGCUUGAGUAGCGAAUGGGUAAGAAACACGUGACCAACCUGCCCCUUACUUUUGGAUAACUUCAGGAAACGGGGGUACAUACCAGAUAUCAUCUCCGCCUGCAUGGGGUGGGAAGGAAUCUUUCGGCGGUUGGGGAUGGACGCGCGGCUUGCCAGCUGGUUGGUGGGGGGGUGCCUUACCAAGGGUUGGAUGGGUAGCCGGCCGGGGAGGGGGACCGGCAACUUGGGGACGGGGUUAGGGCCCAGACUCCUACGGGGGGCAGCGGUGGGGAAUAUGGCACAAUGGGCGGAGGCCGGAGGCAGCAACGCCGCGGGCGGGAUGACGGCCUUCGGGUUGUAACCCGCUUUAGCCUGUGACGAGGCGGGGGUGACGGUAAUGGGUGAAGAAGCACCGGCUAACUACGUG
rnacentral:rRNA from 1 species